rnacentral:rRNA from 1 species
GGUGAACGCUGGCGGCGUGCCUAAUACAUGCAAGUCGAGCGAACAGACGAGGAGCUUGCUCCUCUGACGUUAGCGGCGGACGGGUGAGUAACACGUGGAUAACCUACCUAUAAGACUGGGAUAACUUCGGGAAACCGGAGCUAAUACCGGAGAAUAUAUUGAACCGCAUGGUUCAAUAGUGAAAGACGGUUUUGCUGUCACUUAUAGAUGGAUCCGCGCCGCAUUAGCUAGUUGGUAAGGUAACGGCUUACCAAGGCAACGAUGCGUAGACGACCUGAGAGGGUGAUCGGCCACACUGGAACUGAGACACGGUCCAGACUCCUACGGGAGGCAGCAGUAGGGAAUCGUCCGCAAUGGGCGAAAGCCUGACGGAGCAACGCCGCGUGAGUGAUGAAGGUCUUCGGAUCGUAAAACUCUGUUAUUAGGGAAGAACAAAUGUGUAAGUAACUAUGCACGUAUUGACGGUACCUAAUCAGAAAGCCACGGCUAACUACGUG